AGCAGUUUAGCACCACCAUUACUCUCUUUAAUUCGAACCAAAAUAAUCAAAACAAGUCCUCAUGCGUUAUCAAAAUAAAAGAUACCCAUUAAUAACACCAUUAUUUCUUCUUACCAAUCACGUUCGAAUGCAUAAACCUCCCAAAAUAUUUCUUCUUACGAAUCACGUUCGACUGCAUAAACCUCCGCAAAAGUUAUCUUGCACAGGUUCUCAAUGGUUACCAAUCUCCUUUCUUAAGUUUCCGUGAUUUUGGUAUUUUUCGAGGGAAAUCUCUCUGAUUUUGAUAUUUUUCUUAAUCUUUUUGUGUUGAUUUUCUCAUCCUGGGUUUGGAUUAAUAAUAAAGGAGCAACAACAACCUAGAAUCAUCAUCAGCAGAAAAAUAAAAAUGAGAUUUCUCGGAAACUCAUCUAAGAAUGCCGAUGUGGAAAUAUAAUGUUAUAUCCUCCUCUCUCAAGAGUAUGUAUGGCCGCAAGGGAAUUACGAGUUCGUAUGUUAUCCAGCCUAUGCUUACUUAAUGUGAAGACAUGAGGCAUCACAAGGUACUGAAAAUUUAAUGAUGAUGAAAGGGCUUGAAAAGAGAGGCUCUUCAGGAAAUUUCGAAAGUUGGGGCAACUUUUAUACUGCACUUAGUGGUGCUACAGAAAUCAACGAAAACCUUACAGUUGGAAGAGAUAGUUAAACCACCAGUGAAGAUGAUCCAGAUGUUUUUCUUAAAUUGAGUAGGUUCAGGCAUAUAAUGUUCAAGACCAAGGUGGUCAUUUGAAGGAUGGAUCGCUAGAAAAAAAUCGCCCUACUAUAAAUCACUCUUGUGCCUUUUUUGAGUGGAAUAUCGAGCUUAAGCCUAUGGACUCCACCACAAUGAAAAUGCCGCCCUAUAAAUUCUGUUUUACUGCUUUUGAAGAACUGAGUCUAAUACUGCAAACACAUGCCUCUCAUUUUUUAUAUCAUUAGUAUUGUCCCCAUGAUGUGAUUUUAAUUAUUUUCACUUCUUAUGGUCAAGCAGAUGUGGUCGGCAUUCUUACCACCAGCUUGACAACUCUACAAAAAUUUAAGAGAGCAAAUGGGCAAUGAUUCAUAAUGCGCGACCUAACUCUCAAGAACCUGAGAUUACUCUGUGGGUGACUCGACGAGCGAGCUAAGCUGGAACUUGGACCAAGAUGGUGUUGAGUAUGCACCGAUUGUGGAUGUGGUAACGGGUACCUACAUUAAAAAAAUAUUAAGGAAAAUUAUCUUUGUCAUCAACUAAUUCCACCAAGAUCUACUUGAACAUAGAGCUUCCUGAAGUGAUGGAUAUGCGGCAAAGGUGCUGCCAAAAUACACCACCCAUCAGAUAACUACCUACCAAAAGAGGGAUUCGCCACUGCGGCAUUUUUGCUAUUGGGCAACCGAAAGAGAAUUUCUGAACUAAUGGCGGCCAAAUGGCCAAAUGGAAUGCCGGGUGUAACAUGAUGGUUGUGCAACCGCUAAUCAUAAUCGGCUUAUGACAGAUGAUGGUUGGUACUAUUGGAAAUGUGGCAAUCGCACAACAAAAUUAGUUGGAGAAGAGGGUGAUCAAUGGGCCACCAAGAGCGAAAAAAAGAUGGGGAAAUUAG